CAGCACACAUCACACAGAGGUAGUGCCUACCCGCACGGCCGCACGGCAGUUCGUCACCGUGGUGGCGUAUCCGCCACAAGCCCACUGCCCACAGGCCCACUGCUGCCGUCUCGCCUCAGGGCUCAGGCUGCAGGCUGACGACGCCAACGCCGCCCCUCCCGGCCUUGGCCCAAGUCGUCACCUCCUCGCCCCUCGCCCACGGCUGCGGCCACAUUGUCGCCGGCUUGCCAACACGCCCGUGUAGAUCGGCCGCCGCAUCGCGCCACGCCGCCGUUUCGAUCCCCCGCCAGGGCAGCAGGCAGGCAGGUGCCCUGCUCUUCCAGCGCCCAGGCAGAAUCACUUGCAUUUUUAUCUUUUCUCAUUCAAGUUCUGAUCUUGCGUUUCUUUAGUGACUUUACUAUGCCACCUGUUGACGGCCUCAAGCGUAAUGUUGGUUAACCACUGAAUGCUUCUGUUUCCUACAGAAAUCCCUGUCCUAGAAAUUCAUUUCGUACAAACAAAAUAACUGAAACGGAAAGAAGUGGUAACUUAGGUUCCGUUUUUCAUAAUAUUUCUAUGCUUAAUAAAUUCGCUCCAAUUUACCUCCCCCAGCUCAGGGUAGCAUGUGUCAGUUAUGAUACAUUGAGGUUUACGUUCUCAUCACAUUAUUUGGUAACAUUGGAUCGUCUGUUGCUGUUGGCUACCAAUAUACGUAAGAAACAUUGGGUGAUCUGUUAGAUCACCUCAGUCACUGGGGAAUCAUUGUUGGCCCUUAUAAGAAACCCAUCUUGAAUAUAGGAAUCUGGCGAUGAAGAGUAAGAAAAGUGUGCACGGAUCAUCAUGCAAGAAGGCUAAGUUGUUUGACGGCCUAAUUGGUAGACAUGGUUCUGAAAUAGAUCCAUGUUAUAAACUUUUUCUUGAACAUUUAAGCAAAGAUCGGAAUACAUAUGUCCUUGAUGUACCAAAGGGUGACCACGGCUUGCCUUUUUCUGUACGUUAUGAGGAGGACUAUACGUCCUAUGGAAAUACUAAGAGCAGAAGUAGUCCAAAUUUUCCCAACCAUUCACGGCGCACAAGUUGGGGCAUUCCAGAUGGCAAACAGCCUGAUGUAAAAGCUGUCAAGGCUGCCAGCAGAAAUAUGUGUUGCUCCUUUUCACCAAAGAGAUCAUAUGUGAAGAAGAAGACCACGACCUCACUAGUAGAUGAAUCUUAUGAGUUAUUUCUGAGCCUUGUGAAGUUCAAGGAUGGUUUCAUGGUUAUUGAACCAGAACCAGGUGUCACCAUUGUAUAUGAGCGAGAAGAAGAUAUGCCAGCUGGCUAUGAUGAAUGGAGAACUGGCAGUUCCACAAAUGAACUGUCUUUGGUGUCUCCACUUGAAAACACGGAGGGAGACUACACCAUGCAAAGAUAUGAUUAUGGCCUUGCACCGGCUAACAAAAUUUCUUCUGAACAUGAAAUGGCUGCACCUUCUUCAGAGAACAUUGCUGGUCAGGAUAUUAUUUGCACAGAUGAGCAUGGCCUUGUACUUUAUGCUGAACCAUCUGAUUUAAAUGCAUGUGAAGAUGAACAAGCAACACCUCUUGCUAUCAGCUACGGUGGUUCAUCUACAUUUGAUGAAAAACUCAAUGCUGUUUUAAGUCAACCAUAUGAUCAAAACGAAUACGAAGAGUUGUGGAGAAAAGCGACUGACCGGAAGCCUGUGAGCAGACAAAGACACUUGCGAAGUGCAUCAAAGCGCUAUGUUACAGAGGCAAUCGGGCUGUCAUAUCUCGAUUAUUACCCUGGUAUAGUUACAAAGCUUGAUCUAGCCGUACAAAUAAAGUCAUCUGAUCGUGAUAAGAGACUGAGCCUACUACGAAGGUUCUUCUUCUGGUUGGAGCAAAAUGCUGUGAAGAGAUUUCACCCAAUCAGUGAAAAAAUAUGUUUCUUGCUGAUGGCUACAGUGGUUUGAAAACAAAUCGUCCAUAAUAUGUUGGUUUAGUGGUUUGCCUGCUUCAUGGUGCUGUGUAAGGGAGGUCAGGAGAACUUGUGCCAUGAGGGAGCCUACAUGCCCUGGAUCUCCAAACCUCUAGCUUGCAACCCCAUUUCACCGGAUGGAUGAAUAUGAACCGACGCCCACUCUCAUCCUCAAGACACACGAAGAUGAGCCCUAGGGGUGAGCGGUUAGCAGAGAUUUGCUUGCAGCAUCCCUGCAUCUCUGAUGCUACUUGACUGCUCCUUGUUUCGAUGCGAUGCAAAGCUGAGUCUGUAAUCUUCAGUGUCUAUGCAGUACUGCAGUUAUUUUUCUGCAGGCUAAAUUAUACAACAUGGCAACAAAUACAGCACGGAUAUUGCAAAAAUGGUACUGCUAGCGUUUUAUCGUUA